UCACAGCCCCAAAUCCCAUUGGCUGCGUUCUACCUCCACGAUCUCGUUAGCCGUGGCAGAAGAACCAGUCCCGGCCUAUCCCCAAACCCAAUCGAGAAGCAGCGGAGGACGACGACGGCGGACCCUCGGGUCAAGGACCUCGUCGGCAAUUGAGGCUAGUUGAUCUGCAAUUGAAAACCAAAGAACCCGACAGCUGUAGAAACCCACAGCAAAAGCGAUUCGAAUACCAACAUCGACAACGACGAUGACGCCGAGUACUACCGUCUCCAAAACGAUGCCACAGAGGAGAAUCACCGUCUCCAAAACGACGCGGUUGUGAACCAGGCGCAGAGGGGAGUGUCGUCGCUCAGAUUAAACGAUGACGUCGAGGGUGAUAAUGGCAGCAACAGUGAAUAAGAAGAAGAAGAGAUCGGAGGGGGUUCUGAUUUGGCGAUCGCGAGGGCGAUCAGAGAAGACGAGAGUCGCCAGCACGAGCUGUUGACGCCGGAGAAUGUGACGAUGGUUAUGGAGGUGAUGAGAGGGAUUUUGUUUGAUGGAGUGGCACCGGAUUGGGCAGAUCGGAUCCUUGAAGAGAACUGGAUCGUUUGGCUUCGCCGGCUCCGGCAGGCACCCCAGAUUUAAGACAUUGUUUGUUGUUGUUUUCUCAAUUUGAAUUGGAUUAGAAAUUUUCAAGUUGCUGUAUUUGCAUGUAAUGUGAGAUUCUCGAUGUUGAUCAAUGAAAGUAAUAUCAUUUCAGAUUUUCGGCAA